GAUCACGCCGCAUCCCACCGCCCAGCGCCGCACCUCCUCUCCUCGUGCUCUCUCGCCCCCUCGCCGCCGUGCGCAUCCCCCUCGCGUCCUCGCCCCCUCACCGCCCGGCGGCAAUCGAUGUGCUCCUCCUCCGCAGUCCGCACCACCAUCGCGCCGCGCGCCCCUCCGUACCGCGAAAAAUCGCCGCGCCUCCCCUCCAUCGUUGCGCCUCUCCCACAUCGCCGCGCCGGCGCCCACCAUCGUCACCGCCGCCCAUCGCUCUCCACCUUGCCUCCAUUGCGGCUACGCCCUCCCUCUUUCAGGUAGCUGCCCCCGUCGAUUCCCUCGCGAUUCCCAACCCUAACCCCCGCCGCCCCUGCCGCUCAGGAUCUCCACACCUCUCCUCCUCCUCCCAGUGCUGACGCUGUCCCCCCGCCUUUCCUCCUUCCGCCCACCUACUACCGAUGCCGCCACCCCUCGCAGUGACUCCUCCCCGACCCCGACGCCGACGCCGACGCCGUAUCCCCCGCCACCAACGCCACCGCCGUCGACGCCUACUCCUGUGGCAGUGUGGAGGACUGCUGCUUCCCUGUCUCCAUCAGGUGUGUGCACGAUUUGUGUUUGUUAAAAUGCUUAUGUCAAAAAGCUGUGGGUAUAAAAUGAUAUGCUGCAGAUUAUCUUUUCCUGUUAUAGGUUGAUCAAUAAUGGUUUCCCUAAUUCAACUUUCAUAUUGCUGAAUCUUUUGGUCUACAUUGAUAGCUGAUCCAUUGGGGGUGAUUAUACAAAUGAUUUCCGUUGGUAAUGAUUUUUCCCUACCUUGCAGACAGAGGAAUACCGGACAGUUGUUUUUCUUUCUUUUCUUCUGUUAGGGUGGGUUCAUUUCAGACAUACCCAAUUUGUUAGGUUGACCACGUCCCCAUUUUGAUCCGCGACGUCACAGACAAUUCUCUUGUAAUGUAUAUGUGCAUUGUUUGUCAGAAACCUGUCGAACGGGAGGCACCAUCAUACUUGCUAGAUCUUUCCUCUUAGAGCAUGGACAGGGGACUAUUAUCUGCAUAAUCUAGACCACACAAUAGAAUAUUUUAAGCAGAUUUUUUUCAUAAGUGCGAACCACUGCCUAUGUUACUAUACUAUAGUUCCUUUCGAGAAUUUGCACAAAGUCUAUAGAAAAUCAUAAUAUAAGUGCGACCACGGACUUCCUGAAAGUUAGAAAAAUCUUCUCAAGCAUAUAGUUUGAUGUUCAUUUCAUAAAAAUAUCUUGAUAUGAUUAUAUAAGUGAACAGGAUCAAAUUAGUUUGAAUGUACAAGCUGAUAUGAAAUGACCAUCAUCCCUCUAUCUCCCACCCAUUUUUUUCUUGAAUUUUCUUGCGUUAACCAUAGCUUCUCUUCUGGAUUUGGAAUUUUUUUCUCCGCCGCCUCUCCGACGACUGCCUGCCGCCGCCGCCUCAACCGACAUCGCCGAUCCGGUCUCCCGUCGUUGUCCCUCGGCCGCUGAAGUCUCCUCGGACUGUCUCAACCGGCAUCACCGCCGUCCCUCCGCCACUCAAAUCGUCACGCAUCGCCGGUCUCCUCCGACAAACUGCUUUGGCGACCUCCUCCUCGGCCUCCGCCUCAACCGCCGCCUAUACGGAGCCACGCCGCCGUUCCUCCGCCGCCGAAAGGUUAAACUUUUUAAUUGCAUCUCAGACUUUUGCAUGGUCUUCAACUGGCAAUAAUCUUCAGACAUUUUUUGAGGAGCUGAAUACAUUUCACGUGGGGCUUUCAUCAGAAGAUGCAGUAGAACGCUUGCAGCUGUCCGGUGCAAGCAGAUUGGAGAAGUUUAUCUGCCUUUUUCUGAUCAUUGUUUACCUACAUUCCUGUUCUGAAAUCCUCAUAUUUUUUACUUCCUUUUGGAAUAGAACAAGAGCAUCAAGUUCCUCAGCUUUAUGUGGAAUCCUUUGUCCUAAGUGAUUUGGGCAGCAACAGUGAUGGCAUUGGUCUUAGCAAAUGGUGGUGUAAGUGAUCUGAUUUGUGUUCUUUGGAAUAUAGGAUGUAAACAUCGAUGAUUGUUCAACAAUGCUAAAUUCAUCCAAAGAAACCCAUAAUGGUUUUCUUCAAUAUCCGUUCA